rnacentral:lncRNA from 1 species
CACCAUAAAUGGCUGCCUACGUACUCCCAUUGAUGGGGGGAGAUCAAGUCUUUCGUAGUUUAGGCUUGAUGAGCUGAAACCUGAAUGACUUGAUUUUUGAUUUUUCUUUUUUUCUUUUUUCUUUUUCUCUUUUUUUCUUCUUUUUUUUUUCUUUUCUCUUUUUUUUGCUUUGUUUCUUUUUUUUCUUUUCUUUUUUCUCUUAUUUUUUCUUUUUUUUUUCAAUUUUUACACGCAUGGAAAAUAAAAGGCAUACUACGAAGAAAUUGAUACCGUCCCAACAUCUUCUGGAACUAGCAACUUUAUCCCCUGGAUCUACAUCUUUUUGGCUAGUUGAGGCCUGAUAGUCCAGUUGUCAGUGGUUGUGUUGCCUAUAAGGCUCGCGACAGAGGUUACUUCUUGGUUUUGAAUGUCUUCACUUAUGGCCAUAACUUGAUCACUUCCUGGUUCAGUACAUUCCUCAGGGAUGCUUGAGCUGGACCCAUCGCAAAAAGGUAUGGACUCUUGAUUCUUUGAUGGGUUGGUUUCCCCGACAACCUCACCACCUUCUCCUUCAUCUGUUCC